ACAACACAAAAAAGGGAAAACACAAUGUUUAUAUUGUUGUGUUUUUUGAUUUGCCAUUGUGUUUUCUCUUUUUGUGUUGU